ensembl:lncRNA
AUGUCCUCCCCAGGUGUGCUCACACAUGUCCUCCCCGGGUGUGCUCACACACGUCCUCCCCAGGUGUGCUCACACAUGUCCUCCCCAGGUGUGCUCACACACGUCCUCCCCGGGUGUGCUCAUGCAUGUCCUCCCCAGGUGUGCUCACACAUGUCCUCCCCAGGUGUGCUCACACAUGUCCUCCCCGGGUGUGCUCACGCAUGUCCUCCCUGGGUGUGCUCACACAUGUCCUCCUCGGGUGUGCUCACACAUGUCCUCCCCGGGUGUGCUCACACAUGUCCUCCCCGGGUGUGCUCACACAUGUCCUCCCCGGGUGUGCUCACGCAUGUCCUCCCCAGGUGUGCUCACACAUGUCCUCCCCAGGUGUGCUCACACAUGUCCUCCCCAGGUUUAGCUCACACAUGUCCUCUCCAGUUUAGCUCACACAUGUCCUCCCCAGGUGUGCUCACACAUGUCCUCCCCAGGUGUGCUCACAAUGUCCUCCCCAGGUGUUCUCACUCACCUUUGUUUUUGCUUGUUUCAUGCAGGAAGAAGCCUUCAUAGGGGAUUCACGCUGCCAAACAUGUUUCGGUGCAGGGGACGCUGUAUGCAGCUGCACACACAGUACUGCCCGGCCGGUCUCUGGACGUCACUCCUCCUGCAUAGCUGUGACUUUGAGCCCAGUGAGCGGCCGUUCCCCACGUCCCCUCCCUAGGACCCUCUCUGCUGCCCACUUCUGCGUUUGCGAUGCUUCGCGGAAGAGGAACCAGGCAGUGUCUGUGCUGCGGUGACGGACGUUCAGUUUGGAACAGGAUUCUCCAGAUCGGGCCGCGCUGCUCUUUCUUUCUCACGGAUUCCAUGUGCACCUGCACACGGCCUCGGGUUGUUCUCUUCUCUCGGGGACUGAGAGUGAUCCUUCAGUGAACACAGGAGUGCAGGAACGCGACGCCUUUUAGACGCUGGGGCCUGCUGUGUUAGCGUCCACAGUCACAUCAUCAGGCGGUUCCUAGGAGAGCCCAGUGGCGGCUGGAGCGCAUGUCCUAGGCCCCUGCCUUCCUGCCUCUGGGCUGCCAGGACGCCUGCCCACUUCUGCACUGUGCGGCUCAGUUUUCCAGGCUGGACACCAGUUCUCCUCUCAGCUACUUGGCGCCAUUGGCCUUUGACCUGUGCUGAUCAAAAGUGUUGCACAAAUACAAAUGUCACUCAGAACUGGGCGAUUCUACUGGAAACACAAAUUGGACAGCUCCCCGGUAUGAAUGUAGCCUGCGCACUCCUGUCUCAUCCUGACAGCACGCAUACUUGUUCCUGGGCCAUCAGGUUAGCCAUCAAAGCGCCCCAUCCACGCAGUUAUGUGUGUACUCGAUACACGAUAGCCACCAGAAGUUCAGUUUUGGCCAAAACGUGCUAAAGGCAUUUCUCCUAUCAGUAAGACAAGACCUUGGUCUUCUCAUCACAUCAGCUGGGAUGUCAAGCAUGCGUGCUGUUUGCUAUGAGAGAGAGGAAUGGUGAGAGAGAAAGAUCUCCCCUCUGCUCGUUUGCUCCAAGUCUCCCUGCAGCGGCUCAGGGUAGGCCAGGCCAGAGCCUGGAGCUGAGAAGCCAGUGUCAGUCUCCCACAGGGUGGUCGGGGCGCAGCCACUCGGGACACCACUGCCACCUCCACGACCUGCGUUAGCAGGGAGCUGGAGUCGGGAGCCGAGCUGGGUGCUGGACCCAGGGGCUCUGCGCUGGAGCGUGCUGUGUCCAGUGUCCACGCCAGGGGGAGCCGAGCCGUGAGACAUGUAGGCAGCCGAGUCUUUGUCAGGACAGCGGGUCUUUGGCGUGGUAGGCGGGGAUGGCAGGACUACCGGCGUGGAAGGGAUGACCGAGCCCACAUCACGCUGUUCUGCAAUGACAAUGACUUCAGAGCCUCCUGGAGUCUCCUGUUAAUUACUGGAUUUCAUAAACAAAGCAUUUCACCAGCAUAAUUCAUCGUGAGGCCGCAUUUAAUACCAUGCUAUAAAACAAAUCGAGUGCGCCUCUUGUUAAACACGCCUGGCAGCUUGAAAUAUUAACUCGACACACUGAGUCGAGCAGUUGAUUAAACAGGGGGGGUUAUUGAAUUACGCUUUUAUGAGGCACAUUAUGCGUAGAGAAAUAGAUCAUUUAUUAUGACGAACAUACCGUUUAUAAUGACACAUAUUGAUUUUAUUCUCGGAAUUUUCCACUUGACUUCUAAUCAUUGCAAUUUAUCACUUAGUUUGAUGAGUUUAAUCUUAAACAAAAAUUAGAUCCCAGCCUUCCCCCACCCCCAUUUAUUGGGGAUUGUUUAAGAAAUAAAGCGCAGAUUUCCAUUUUGGUGGCCUCUGUG